GAGGACGACGCUGGGCGGCGUGCCUAAUACAUGCAAGUCGAACGGUCUUUUCUAUGGAAGCUUGCUUCCACUGAGAAGAUAGUGGCGAACGGGUGAGUAACACGUGGGUAACCUGCCCAUAAGAGGGGGAUAACAUCCGGAAACGGGUGCUAAUACCGCAUAGUUUUCUUGAUUGCAUGAUUGAGAAAGGAAAGACGGCCUUUGUGCUGUCGCUUAUGGAUGGACCCGCGGCGUAUUAGUUAGUUGGUGAGGUAACGGCUCACCAAGACGAUGAUACGUAGCCGACCUGAGAGGGUGAUCGGCCACAUUGGGACUGAGACACGGCCCAAACUCCUACGGGAGGCAGCAGUGGGGAAUAUUGCACAAUGGGGGAAACCCUGAUGCAGCCAACGCCGCGUGAGUGAUGACGGUCUUCGGAUUGUAAAGCUCUGUCUUCAGGGACGAUAAUGACGGUACCUGAGGAGGAAGCCACGGCUAACUACGUGCCAGCCGCUGC
rnacentral:rRNA from 1 species